AGAGUCCAUGACCCGGGUUUUCCCCAAAUCCACUCUGUCAAAACCCUAGAAGACCCUUUACCGUGGCGGGUCGCAACACUCGCCAUUUGUAUCCAUCCGGGUCAGGGUACAUUCCUCGGACCCAUUCCUCCUUUACCGUGGCGGGUCGCAACACUCGCCUUUUGUAUCCAUCCGGGUCAGGGUACAUUCCUCGGACCCAUUCCUCCUUUACCGUGGCGGGUCGCAACACUCGCCUUUUGUAUCCAUCCGGGUCAGGGUACAUUCCUCGGACCCGUUCUUCCUUAGCAUUGGCGUCCACACCGAAUCUAGGGUGUGGAGUUGAAAAAGGAAAUGGAGACAAUGGGGUUUGUAGUUUCAAAAAAGAGUAAAGGGACAUGGAGAUAUUGGUUCAAGGUUGCUAAUAACCUUAAGCGACAAAUAGACUUGUCUCGUAUUAAAGAAAAUGUUGUGGUCUUAACAAAUGGUUAGGAAAACCAGUUCUAAUGGUUCAAAUUCUACAGCUGAUUCCACAUUUUCAAAGUGUCCAUUUGAACAAUUAGAAUUAGUUUUCAGAUCACUUGCAAAGGCCACAGGAUUCACUUUAAUGCAAGAUGAGUCGAUCUGUUGGUUUAGGGCGACAAUGCUUCUUGCCUCUGAUGGCAUGCAAUUACAGAGAAGAUGAGUUGUUUCUAAGUAGUAUUUUGCAUUUAUUCGCUAUGAGCCUUCAGACAUUCAAGGUGUUAUCUGUCCUGAAUGGUGGUAGUGGUUUGCAAGGUUUGAAGCAUAUUAUUGCAUUGUCAAAUGUAAAGGAUCAUAUUGUUCUUUCAGUUUGGUACAUAAAUGCCUCUUCAAUUGCUAUAUGCAUAUGUUUGUGUGUGUUUACAUACAUAAUGUAUAUAUGUAUGUGUGUGUGUCUUUUUAUAUUUAAAAUAUUAUAUAUCCUUAUAAUGGGGAAUGUAAGCCAUCUGCAAGUUUGCAACACACGAGGAGAGAAAAGUGAAUGUAGAUUAUUUCAGCAGAUAAGAUUACAUCGUUAGCUUCUGACUGAUACUCUUUUAUUUCUUGUUUCAUGUCAUUUCUUGUCUUUCUCUGUUUUUGAUUUGAUAACCAUUAUUUUCUUUUCAUGGCAUUUAUUCAAUAAAAUGAUAAUUGUUGUUUCUUGAUAUACUCUAAUAGCUGAUUAGAUGCUCAUUUGGCCUUUCCUCAGGCUCUUGGUUUGGUGAACAAAUAAGAAUUGCUUAAUACACUAGUGUGUUUUUGAUAAAGGAGAUAGACUACUAUUAAUCUACAAGGAGAUUACACAGGCAAAUAUGGACUUCUUAGUUUCCUGGUUGAGCACUAUGCAAGACAGGAAGUUAGUAGGCUUCAAAACAAGCUAUCUGAUUCAGCUCUGUCCAGAAAAUUUUAGAGAAUAUGUAGUCAGGGAUUGUUUGGUUGGCCACAUAAGAAAGUAUCACCGCACACAAAAUUCUGCAUGUCUAGUAUACUAUGUUUGAUUUGCAACAUAAAACUUUGUACUGCUAAUUUAAUUUCCGGUGUAAAACUAUGCAUAACAAAUAUUCCUUCCGUCCCAAUUUAAGUGUCUUGGUUUGAUUGAGCACGGAGUUUAAGAAACAAAGGGAGACUUUUGAAUCUCGUGGUCUUAAAUUAAAAAUGUGUGUAGUCUUUCAAAUUUUGUGGUCUUAAACUUGCCAGGUAGAUUGUUGAAAUUGGAAAACUUACUAAAUAUAGAAAGAGACAGUCUUUCUAGGACAGAUCAAGAAGGAAAGUAAGAGCAUGUUUAGAUUGGCUUAUUUUAAGUGUUUUAAGCACUUUUUUAGUGUUUGGGUAAAAUAGUGCUUUUAAGCACUUGUGUCUAAGCCAAAAACUACAAGUCCAUCCAAACAGGCUCUACGACACUUAAAAUUGGGAUGGAGGGAGUACUUCUUUUGUUGUGGUACUAAAGUAUGUAUUGCUAAUACCAACAUAAUUAUGUGUGAUUCAGUGUAUUAUCUUAUGCGGGAUAGGAUAUGGAAUAAAAAUAGUAAUUAUCGAUACUUGGAUAAGAGUAUGUAGAAGCAUAAAUUUUGCUUUUAAAGUAGACAAUUAUUCAGCUCAUAACAAUCCCUACAUUGAUAUUCAUUGCAUAACACUCCUUUACCAUGAUCCCUGCAUAAACUAGUCCGCAAACCAAAUGGCCCCUCAAGGUAUGAAUAGGGUGUGCCUAUUUCCUAUACAAAGACCUUGAGGACAUGUAACAAGUGGGCAGAGUAAGGCUGGCAUGUCUCUUGGUCAGAUGCCUCUCCAACUCUUUUAAGCCAAGUAUUAUCAUAUUCAUGUUAUGAAUAUCUCUUUUCUUGAGAAUUGCUAUAUAUGCCAAAUAUACUUGUCAAAUUUUUUGAUCACAGCAGCGGUAGAUCACUUGUCAUAAAAAAGAUAUGCCAUUAAUGGGAAAUACUUUACUUAUUUCUAAAGAUAAUUUCUUUAAAAAGAUUGUGGUUGGAUUUUGUUAUGGUCUUUAUCUAUCUCUAUCACAAACCAAGUGCAAUGACUGCCCACUCUUUUAGGAGAUAUUGGCAUAUCGCAUUGUCAAGCCAGUUGUACUCUUUGGUUGUUCUAUCCUGUCUGAUCUAAUUGAUGGUAAUUUGCGACCCCUCAGCGGUCGCAAUUAUUUGCAUUAGGGUGUAAAAAGGUACUCUAUUGAUCUAUUUUUUUUUUGAAUUUGUAUUCCUCCACUUUUAUGAUAAUGGUAGCUGGUAGGUUCUAUUCAUUACUAUUGUAAUUCUCAAUGACUAUCCACUUAGCUUGUACAGUCACAUUCAUUAGGCACUUGUAUGAGAGAUAUAUUAAUUCAACCACAAUCAAUAUAGGAGGCUGCUAUAAUCUGUCAAUCUUAAACAAGGAUCAGGAGAAUCGCUUUUCUAGAGAUCACACACUUUAUAUUGUAGAUUUGGUAUCAAAAGUAGUAAAGGAAAGUUGUAAAUUUUGAAUGUAGAAAUGGUAAUUUAUUAAUUCAGCAAUGUAUAUGCAGUUAUUAAGAAGGGAGGUAUGAUAGGAUUUGCAUGCGAUUUUGUACCACAUCGUCUCAAAAGCAAAAAAUCAUUCUUUUGUUAAUCUAUUUAGCGGUUUCUAAUUAUGAACUUCAAUACACAGCUAUUGGGCCCGCCUAAGUGCGGGCCCUUGAUGGCUCGCAUGACCUUGUAGGAAGGUCCUUCCAAUGAGUUGCAGUAUGCUGCAAAUCUUGUCCGCGCAUUUGCUGGCACAUAGGGAUCCAGGUUCUCGACUGUCAGAACCACUCCCCAUCUGCGAUUUGAGCAAUUAAAUACACCUUUCUUGGUGCUAUCCCACCUCUGCAAUUGAAGCAAUCAAUCACACUUUCUUGGUGCUGCCCGAGUUACAAAUCCAAGCUAUUAAACAACCUUUCUUGGUGCUCAAGGUAUCCCAUCUGCGAAUCAAGCAAUAAAACACACAUUUCUCGGUGCUCAAGGAAGUAGUCCACACUAUCAACUGUGCAUUUGCACAUGAAGCACCAGGCAUCAGCUGACAGAUGUGAUCCUUUGCGUUCUCAUGUUCUCGGCUGUCCGCAUUGGACCGAGUUGUGACCCAAGCUAAUAAACAUAUCCUUCUUGGUGCUCAAGGAAGUAGUCUGCAUUCUCAACUGUGCAUUUGCACAUGUACUGGGUGACAGCUAACGUAUGUGAUCCUUCGCGUUCUCAUGUUCUCGGCUGUCAGCACUGGACCCAAUCUGCAACACAAGCUCAUAACACACCCUUCUCUCGGUGUUCAAGGAAGUAGCCCACAUUCUCAACUGUGAAUUUGCACAUGAAACCCCAGGUGACACCUGACAUAUCUGAUCCUUCACAUUCUCAUGUUCUCAGCUGUCAGCACUGGACCCGAGCUGCGAUCAAGCUAAUGAUCACACCUUUCUUAGUGCCCAAGGAAGUAGUCCACAUUCUCAACUGUGCAUGUGCACAUGAAGCACCAAGUAACAUCAGUAUAUGUGAUCCUUCGGCGUUCUCAUCUGCGACCCAAGCUGAUAAACACACCUUUCUUGGUGCUCAGUUGGAGCAUACAACUCGUGGCAUAAAUGAGAGGACUUAUUCCUGGAGCCUGGUCAGUAAUACUGGAUGUCCCUGACACCAGCAGCAAUAUAGAACUUUGGUCAGAAACCAGUAUUAGGCUGAAUUGGCAAUUAUCCAGGCUGUGGUGCAAACUUGCUUUCUGGAAGCAUGAUUCUAAUGGAUGAACUUACUGAUAGUCCAGCAGUCGUAGAAGCUAUAGAAAUUAAGAUGACAGUAGACUUUGAUUUUACAAAAAAACAACCAUGCCCCUUUCCCGAGCAAGUUGGGUUAGUUAUAUGAAUCUUCUCUGCACAUGUUAUUUUAAA